rnacentral:rRNA from 1 species
GUGGGCCCUCGAAAUCCUGUGGCGAGAGGAUUCAGUCUGGCCCGGCGGACGCGGUGGCGGAAUUCAGCAGAGCUUCCCCGGACGGGGGCCGUCUGCCGCCGCGCCUUUCGCCUUUCCAGACGCAUUUGUCUCUCGUCCGAAGGACGCUGCAGCCGGUCCGGCAGUGCAAACGUGACGGCCUGAAGGUCGGGAAAUGGCAGGUGGCCGGUGGCUCGCUUCGUGCGGGUCGUCGGUUGUUAGCCGUCCCGUCAGUGGCCCGUCGCCGGACCGAGGUGUCGCGAGUCCCUUUCGGGGGACUCCACGUCUCCACCCCAGCGUUGCGGGACAGAUCGUGGCAAGGGCGUUUCGCUCUGCCGUCGCACCCCUCAGGUGUGGGCGGCGGAGUUCGGCUCCCCGAUGGCCGCGGCGGACCCGUGGGGGACAGGAGGCUGGCAGCGAGUAGGUCGGUCACCCACCCGACCCGUCUUGAAACACGGACCAAGGAGUCUAACAUGUGCGCGAGUCAAUGGGUCUUGAACAGGCCCAGGGGCGCAAUGAAAGCGAAGGGCCGCCGAGCGCGGUCCGAGCGGGGAUCCCCCUCCUCCGUGGGGGGGCGCACCCGCGACCCGUCCUGUGCUGCUCGCAGCUUGGGCGGAGUCUGAGCGUACACGUUGGGACCCGAAAGAUGGUGAACUAUGCCCGGACAGAAUAAAGCCAGAGGAAACUCUGGUGGAGGUUCGCAGCGGUUCUGACGUGCAAAUCGAUCGUCAGAUCCGGGUCUAGGGGCGA